UACGUAGGGUGCAAGCGUUAAUCGGAAUUACUGGGCGUAAAGCGUGCGCAGGCGGUGAUGUAAGACAGGUGUGAAAUCCCCGGGCUCAACCCGGGAACUGCGUCCGAUACUGGCAGGCUUGAAUCCGGGAGAGGGAUGCGGAAUUCCAGGUGUAGCGGUGAAAUGCGUAGAUAUCUGGAGGAACACCGGUGGCGAAGGCGGCAUCCUGGACCGGUAUUGACGCUGAGGCGCGAAAGCCAGGGGAGCAAAGCGGGG
rnacentral:rRNA from 1 species